AUGGACGGCAAGACCCCUCAUCUGCUGCCUCUGAGCGCGGCCAAGAAGAAGAUCCACGAUGACGUCCCACCGGUCUGCACAUAUGCGCUCCUCAACGCCCUCGCCAUCGUCUUCGGCACAGCAGUGGGCCACAUAGCCGUCGACUACUUGGACGUGUCGUGCAGCCAGCUCUCCUCCAUUCUGCCGUGCGUUGAGCUGACGGACGCGGAGUCCGCCUGGUUAACCGCCCUCUCGAUCGGGAUUCUGUGCUGCGCCCCAACCCAGGCGGCCGCGGCGGCGCUGGCGCUGCUGCUCCCAUGCCGCCGUCGCCGGGCCCGCCGCGCCCUCGCCUACCUCGCGCUCGCGGUCACCUUCCUCUUCCAUUGCAUGUACGCCGGCGCCGUCUGGACCUUCCUCGCCGCCGACCCAAGAUACAUCUCCGGCAAGAUCUUUUUUACCAUGGUCAUCGUCUGCCUCAUCCUGGCGUGCAACCUGACCUGCCUGUCUGACCUCCUUGGAGGUGAUGGGUCGGACAAGCAGUAG
rnacentral:rRNA from 1 species